rnacentral:rRNA from 1 species
AGUGAACGCUGGCGGUAGGCCUAACACAUGCAAGUCGAACGGCAGCACAGUAAGAGCUUGCUCUUACGGGUGGCGAGUGGCGGACGGGUGAGGAAUACAUCGGAAUCUACUUUUUCGUGGGGGAUAACGUAGGGAAACUUACGCUAAUACCGCAUACGACCUACGGGUGAAAGCAGGGGAUCUUCGGACCUUGCGCGAUUGAAUGAGCCGCUGUCGGAUUAGCUAGUUGGCGGGGUAAAGGCCCACCAAGGCGACGAUCCGUAGCUGGUCUGAGAGGAUGAUAAGCCACACGGGAACUGAGACACGGUCCAGACUCCUAAGGGAGGCAGCAGUGGGGAAUAUUGGACAAUGGGCGCAAGCCUGAUCCAGCCAUACCGCGUGGGUGAAGAAGGCCUUCGGGUUGUAAAGCCCUUUUGUUGGGAAAGAAAAGCAGCAGGUUAAUACCCCGCUGUUCUGACGGUACCCAAAGAAUAAGCACCGGCUAACUUCGUG